rnacentral:rRNA from 1 species
CUUACACAUGCAAGUCGAACGGUAACAGGUCUUCGGAUGCUGACGAGUGGCGAACGGGUGAGUAAUACAUCGGAACGUGCCCGAGAGUGGGGGAUAACGAAGCGAAAGCUUUGCUAAUACCGCAUACGAUCUCAGGAUGAAAGCAGGGGACCGCAAGGCCUUGCGCUCACGGAGCGGCCGAUGGCAGAUUAGGUAGUUGGUGGGAUAAAAGCUUACCAAGCCGACGAUCUGUAGCUGGUCUGAGAGGACGACCAGCCACACUGGGACUGAGACACGGCCCAGACUCCUACGGGAGGCAGCAGUGGGGAAUUUUGGACAAUGGGCGCAAGCCUGAUCCAGCCAUGCCGCGUGCAGGAUGAAGGCCUUCGGGUUGUAAACUGCUUUUGUACGGAACGAAAAGACUCUGGUUAAUACCUGGGGUCCAUGACGGUACCGUAAGAAUAAGCACCGGCUAACUACGUGCCAGCAGCCGCGGUAAUACGUAGGGUGCGAGCGUUAAUCGGAAUUACUGGGCGUAAAGCGUGCGCAGGCGGUUAUGUAAGACAGAUGUGAAAUCCCCGGGCUCAACCUGGGAACUGCAUUUGUGACUGCGUAGCUAGAGUACGGCAGAGGGGGAUGGAAUUCCGCGUGUAGCAGUGAAAUGCGUAGAUAUGCGGAGGAACACCGAUGGCGAAGGCAAUCCCCUGGGCCUGUACUGACGCUCAUGCACGAAAG